UGGACAGGUGUCACUGAGUUUGGUCC
rnacentral:piRNA from 1 species